rnacentral:rRNA from 1 species
UACGAGGGGGGCAAGCGUUGUUCGGAAUUAUUGGGCGUAAAGGGCGCGUAGGCGGUGCGGUAAGUCACCUGUGAAAACUCUGGGCUCAACUCAGAGCCUGCAGGCGAAACUGCCGUGCUGGAGUGUGGGAGAGGUGCGUGGAAUUCCCGGUGUAGCGGUGAAAUGCGUAGAUAUCAGGAGGAACACCGGUGGUGUAGACGGCUUUCUGGACCGUAACUGACGCUGAGACAACGAAGCGUGGGUAGCAAACAGG